AUUCUCCUGGCUCCUAUCUCUUUCUGCUUCUCCAAGCAAAACGGAGGCGCACCUCGCCACUGUCUGCGGACCACAUGCAGCUCACAUCCCAGUCAUUGGAAGACGAUGAAGUCACCCCUAUACACUGGUAUAUGUGGCCGGCACAGUCCGCAACGCCAUCCAGAGUCUGUGUCUCCCGAUGGAAUUCUGCCUGACAACGGGAGAUCGGGAUUCGAUAAGGAUAAGCGGAGGUGUGACCCAAAUCCUUCAGGUUUUCUGAUGAUUGGACUGAACGUGAGAUCAGAGGAGUCCGGU